UGGCUCAGGAUGAACGCUAGCUACAGGCUUAACACAUGCAAGUCGAGGGGCAUCAGGAAGAAAGCUUGCUUUCUUUGCUGGCGACCGGCGCACGGGUGAGUAACACGUAUCCAACCUGCCCUUUACUCGGGGAUAGCCUUUCGAAAGAAAGAUUAAUACCCGAUAGCAUAAUGAUUCCGCAUGGUUUCAUUAUUAAAGGAUUCCGGUAAAGGAUGGGGAUGCGUUCCAUUAGGUUGUUGGUGAGGUAACGGCCCACCAAGCCUUCGAUGGAUAGGGGUUCUGAGAGGAAGGUCCCCCACAUUGGAACUGAGACACGGUCCAAACUCCUACGGGAGGCAGCAGUGAGGAAUAUUGGUCAAUGGGCGCUAGCCUGAACCAGCCAAGUAGCGUGAAGGAUGAAGGCUCUAUGGGUCGUAAACUUCUUUUAUAUAAGAAUAAAGUGCAGUAUGUAUACUGUUUUGUAUGUAUUAUAUGAAUAAGGAUCGGCUAACUCCGUGCCAGCAGCCGCGGUAAUACGGAGGAUCCGAGCGUUAUCCGGAGUUAUUGGGUUUAAAGGGAGCGUAGGUGGACUGGUAAGUCAGUUGUGAAAGUUUGCGGCUCAACCGUAAAAUUGCAGUUGAUACUGUCAGUCUUGAGUACAGUAGAGGUGGGCGGAAUUCGUGGUGUAGCGGUGAAAUGCUUAGAUAUCACGAAGAACUCCGAUUGCGAAGGCAGCUCACUGGACUGCAACUGACACUGAUGCUCGAAAGUGUGGGUAUCAAACAGGAUUAGAUACCCUGGUAGUCCACACAGUAAACGAUGAAUACUCGCUGUUUGCGAUAUACAGUAAGCGGCCAAGCGAAAGCAUUAAGUAUUCCACCUGGGGAGUACGCCGGCAACGGUGAAACUCAAAGGAAUUGACGGGGGCCCGCACAAGCGGAGGAACAUGUGGUUUAAUUCGAUGAUACGCGAGGAACCUUACCCGGGCUUAAAUUGCAGUGGAAUGAUGUGGAAACAUGUCAGUGAGCAAUCACCGCUGUGAAGGUGCUGCAUGGUUGUCGUCAGCUCGUGCCGUGAGGUGUCGGCUUAAGUGCCAUAACGAGCGCAACCCUUAUCUUUAGUUACUAACAGGUUAUGCUGAGGACUCUAGAGAGACUGCCGUCGUAAGAUGUGAGGAAGGUGGGGAUGACGUCAAAUCAGCACGGCCCUUACGUCCGGGGCUACACACGUGUUACAAUGGGGGGUACAGAAGGCAGCUAGCGGGUGACCGUAUGCUAAUCCCAAAAUCCUCUCUCAGUUCGGAUCGAAGUCUGCAACCCGACUUCGUGAAGCUGGAUUCGCUAGUAAUCGCGCAUCAGCCACGGCGCGGUGAAUACGUUCCCGGGCCUUGUACACACCGCCCGUCAAGCCAUGAGAGCCGGGGGUACCUGAAGUACGUAACCGCAAGGAUCGUCCUAGGGUA
rnacentral:rRNA from 1 species